rnacentral:rRNA from 1 species
GGAAGCAGCUUGCUGCUUUGCUGACGAGUGGCGGACGGGUGAGUAAUGUCUGGGAAACUGCCUGAUGGAGGGGGAUAACUACUGGAAACGGUGGCUAAUACCGCAUAACGUCGCAAGACCAAAGAGGGGGACCUUCGGGCCUCUUGCCAUCAGAUGUGCCCAGAUGGGAUUAGCUUGUUGGUGAGGUAACGGCUCACCAAGGCGACGAUCCCUAGCUGGUCUGAGAGGAUGACCAGCCACACUGGAACUGAGACACGGUCCAGACUCCUACGGGAGGCAGCAGUGGGGAAUAUUGCACAAUGGGCGCAAGCCUGAUGCAGCCAUGCCGCGUGUAUGAAGAAGGCCUUCGGGUUGUAAAGUACUUUCAGCGGGGAGGAAGGUGUUGUGGUUAAUAACCGCAGCAAUUGACGUUACCCGCAGAAGAAGCACCGGCUAACUCCGUGCCAGCAGCCGCGGUAAUACGGAGGGUGCAAGCGUUAAUCGGAAUUAC